GACGAACGCUGGCGGCGUGCCUAAUACAUGCAAGUUGAGCGCUGAAGGUUGGUACUUGUACCAACUGGAUGAGCAGCGAACGGGUGAGUAACGCGUGGGGAAUCUGCCUUUGAGCGGGGGACAACAUUUGGAAACGAAUGCUAAUACCGCAUAAAAACUUUAAACACAAGUUUUAAGUUUGAAAGAUGCAAUUGCAUCACUCAAAGAUGAUCCCGCGUUGUAUUAGCUAGUUGGUGAGGUAAAGGCUCACCAAGGCGAUGAUACAUAGCCGACCUGAGAGGGUGAUCGGCCACAGUGGGACUGAGACACGGCCCAAACUUCUACGGGAGGCAGCAGGAGGGAAUCUUCGGCAAUGGACGAAAGUCUGACCGAGCAACGCCGCGUGAGUGAAGAAGGUUGUCGGAUCGUAAAACUCUGUUGGUAGAGAAGAACGUUGGUGAGAGUGGAAAGCUCAUCAAGUGACGGUAACUACCCAGAAAGGGACGGCUAACUACGUG
rnacentral:rRNA from 1 species